rnacentral:rRNA from 1 species
UACGGAGGGUGCAAGCGUUAUCCGGAUUUAUUGGGUUUAAAGGGAGCGUAGGCGGGAUAGUAAGUCAGUGGUGAAAUCUUCCGGCUCAACCGGGAAACUGCCAUUGGUACUGCUAACCUAGAGUAUAUUUGAAGUGGGCGGAAUGUGUCAUGUAGCGGUGAAAUGCUUAGAUAUGACACAGAACACCAAUUGCGUAGGCAGCUCGCUAAACUAUAACUGACGCUGAGGCUCGAAAGCGUGGGGAUCAAACAGG